rnacentral:rRNA from 1 species
AUGAUGCAUAGCCGAGUUGAGAGACUGAUCGGCCACCAUUGGGACUGAGACACGGCCCAAACUCCUACGGGAGGCAGCAUAGGGAAUCUUCCACAAUGGACGCAAGUCUGAUGGAGCAACGCCGCGUGAGUGAAGAAGGGUUUCGGCUCGUGAAGCUCUGUUGUUGGUGAAGAAGGAUAGAGGUAGUAACUGGCCUUUAUUUGACGGUAAUCAACCAGAAAGUCACGGCUAACUACGUGCCAGCAGCCGCGGUAAU